GAGAUUGAGGCAGGGAGCCCUGAGAGGGAGAGAGAGGCUGAGAGAGGGAGAGAGAGGCAGGGAGCCCUGAGAGGGAGAGAGGCUGAGAGAGGGAGAGAGGCUGAGAGAGAGAGAGGCUGAGAGAGGGAGAGAGAGGCUGAGAGGGAGAGAGGCUGAGAGAGGGAGAGAGAGGCUGAGAGGGAGAGAGAGGCUGAGAGAGGGAGAGAGAGGCUGAGAGGGAGAGAGAGGCUGAGAGAGGGAGAGAGAGGCUGAGAGGGAGAGAGAGAGGCUGAGAGAGGGAGAGAGGCUGAGAGAGGGAGAGAGGCUGAGAGGGAGAGAGGCUGAGAGAGAGAGAGAGGCUGAGAGGGAGAGAGAGGCUGAGAGAGGGAGAGAGAGGCUGAGAGGGAGAGAGAGGCUGAGAGAGGGAGAGAGAGGCUGAGAGGG
ensembl:lncRNA